rnacentral:lncRNA from 1 species
AAGGCUUGCUUUACAUAGGUAACAAAAAGGGUCGCUUGCUACGUAAAUAUGAAUGCUGUAACUGUUGCUGCAAUUAUGAUUGCUGUAUUAUCUACGAUGGUUUCCUCCACAUCAGCCACGCAACAUUGCCCGUCGUUCUCCUGUGGAUACCCCAAUGAUUGCUCAGGCGUUCCACCACAUGGAUUAUCCGCAAGUUGCAACAACUGCGUAAAAUGGUACUACAAUUCCAGUUCAAAGGGAUGCCAAUCCUUUCAAAAAGAAGGAUGCAAGGACGGCUGCAACAUUUUUGAUGGUUUGCACGAUUGCCUAAGAGCGUGUGAUUACGCCAGGGGGAAAUAAAAAAGCAACACGGUGUGAACUUCUCAUCGCAAAGGAUAUGUGUGUGCGCGAUAUAUACUAAGCUCCUUUGAAUCUGCACUGAUUUACAGUAUAUGCUACGGUGGUGGUAAUCCGUCUGCUUUAGAAAUGACGAAAUGCUGUGCUUGAUUGCCUUGUGUGUCUUUGCUAUGCAAUGGGCUGUGCUGUACUUUCAGUACCAUUGUUUUUCUUUAUUUGCACCAACCUAACGGUUUUGCCAAUGAGUGCAUUUGAGGAGCCUUACGGUAGCAUGCUUUUCGUUCUGCUUUGCAGGUUGUGUAUUUGCAAUUUAUGUAUUAAUAAAAGGCUAAUUGAAAGUGGC